UUCUUGGUGGUCCAGUGGUUGGGACUCUGCGCUUCAAGUGCAGAGGGCUUGGGUUCAAUCCCUGGUUGGGAAC
rnacentral:tRNA from 1 species